rnacentral:rRNA from 1 species
GAUGAACGCUAGCGGCAGGCCUAACACAUGCAAGUCGAGGGGCAGCACAGAAACAGCAACGUUUUGGUGGCGACCGGCGGACGGGUGCGUAACGCGUAUGCAACCUACCUUUAACAGGGGGAUAACGGAGAGAAAUUUCCACUAAUACCCCAUAACAUCGAUCAAGGCAUCUUGAUUGGUUGAAAACUCCGGUGGUUAAAGAUGGGCAUGCGUUGUAUUAGGUAGUUGGUGAGGUAAUGGCUCACCAAGCCUACGAUACAUAGGGGGACUGAGAGGUUAGCCCCCCACACUGGUACUGAGACACGGACCAGACUCCUACGGGAGGCAGCAGUGAGGAAUAUUGGUCAAUGGGGGCAACCCUGAACCAGCCAUGCCGCGUGCAGGAAGACGGCUCUAUGAGUUGUAAACUGCUUUCAAACAGGGAUAAAGCACAGUAUGUAUACUGUGUUGAAGGUACUGUAAGAAUAAGGAUCGGCUAACUCCGUGCCAGCCGCCGCAGUAA